rnacentral:lncRNA from 1 species
CUCCUUCCUCUGAGCUCAGCCCGGCGGAGAGGAGAGAAGAGGACCUCGGGCCCCGUUUCUUCCCCCGGGAGCGGGGGUGCUCCCGCUGCAGCCCGCCCGGCGAAGAGCAGGCACCGUCCCCCACCGCCCCGCGGAGCAGGUGCACAGCCCAGCUGCCUGCUGGCAGGGCCAGGGAGGCGCAGCUGGACGCAGCGAUCGGCGGGGCCUGGCGAAUCUCAGCCAGACAGCGGGAUUCCCCCAGCCGCAGCCUGCUCUGCAUAAUAUAGGAGCGGCCCAGCGGCGAGGCGCGGAGCUGGAAGCACAAACAGGAGAUCAGGAGGUUGUAGACGCUUCCCGGUUGUUUAACUGCGCUUCGGGUUGUCCCGCUGCCCCCGCUCUGAGCAAAGUGAAGAGCCCGAUUAGGACUUUAAGGCUCAGGCCACCCCUGUGACUAGGUAUUUAAACAACAAGUGGAGAUUGUCGUUAGCUGUUUGACAAAGUGUGUUCUAUGAAGAGGGAAGAGGCAUCUGUCUGCAACCAAGGCACCCAAAUACCCCUGAAAAUCUGGGUAACAUUUUCAGAAACACCCAAGAGACCCAUCCUCAGAUGUGACCCCAGAGCCCACGUCUCAUUGCAAGUCAGAUGCUACAGGGUCAUCAAAAGAUCAAACCGCUUUAUAGAACAGUGUAUAUAAAAUGUAUAUGCAGAGUAUGUAACAAACAUGUGUAGUGUUUUAGAUAAAUGGUUCAGAUGUCUGUUCUUGGACCCAAUCCAAUUUUCAUAGCAG